rnacentral:rRNA from 1 species
GACGAACGCUGGCGGCGUGCUUAACACAUGCAAGUCGAGCGGUAAGGCCCUUUCGGGGGUACACGAGCGGCGAACGGGUGAGUAACACGUGGGUGACCUGCCCUCAGCUCUGGGAUAAGCCUGGGAAACUGGGUCUAAUACUGGAUAUGACUCCACGGUGCAUGUCGUGGGGUGGAAAGCCUUGUGCGGCUGAGGAUGGGCCCGCGGCCUAUCAACUUGUUGGUGGGGUGANGGCCUACCAAGGCGACGACGGGUAGCCGGCCUGAGAGGGCGACCGGCCACACUGGGACUGAGACACGGCCCGGACUCCUACGGGAGGCAGCAGUGGGGAAUCUUGCGCAAUGGGCGAAAGCCUGACGCAGCGACGCCGCGUGAGGGAUGACGGCCU